rnacentral:misc_RNA from 1 species
AAAGUCGUAACAAGGUCUCCGUUGGUGAACCAGCGGAGGGAUCAUUACCGAGUCUGACAACUCCCAAACCCCUGUGAACAUACCGCACGUUGCUUCGGCGGACCGCCCCGGCGCCCGCCGGGGGACCCAAACUCUUGCCUACGCCGCCGGCGGAAUCUCCCUCUGAGUAACGAAAAACAAAUGAAUCAAAACUUUCAACAACGGAUCUCUUGGUUCUG